CUUUUCUACAACAAAUUCAAGUGCAUUAUUAUUUGCAACUGUUUAUCAUUAUGCGAAAAUCACGGAUGAGUUACAUUUUCCACCAAAAUCAACAAUCUGAUUAUAUUCGUAAAUUAAGAAAGAAACGAGGGAAAGUCAAACCCGCAUCUCAUAAUUGUCCAACAUCAAUAUCUACAGAUCUUUUAAUUGGAGGCAAUCCACAAAUUGCACUCGUUCAAUAUCCAAUUCAAACACAAGUCAGCGGGGAUCCUAUACAUGUGGAAUUGGAUCAUGACAUGAUAGAUCAGGUAAUCUGCC